rnacentral:lncRNA from 1 species
AUUCUGGACGUGGAUCAUGAUAUAAUUGUAAAUGGCUGUCUGUUUAGAUGUCCAAGUCCAAGAAAAUGGACAAUAUUUGACUUUUAUGAGAUAAAACCACUAUAUUAGAUACGACUUAGAAAUAUAACAUGAGCAUCAAGUCGAUCAUGUUAAAUCGUGUCGUAUAUUGAGUUUUUGAUAGGAAUUUACACAUGCUUUAGUAAAAAAGUAUAUUUUUAAACGCUAAAAUCAGAUAAACAACUAAUCGACCUCACCGACAUAAAGUCAGCUAAGUAGAAUAUCACAUGUACGUGGCCCAAACGUAUCAUAUUACGGCUGGAUCAGAUUCAAAUCAGUAGUGUGGACCAUCAACAACUUAUGCCACACCCACGCAAAAGAUAACACGGUUUAAAAGAUUUUUUUUUUUUUUUUUGGUAAAUAUGUUAUGAUUGCAUUACCAUUUUAAAAUUUGUGACAGAAGUUACAGAGAAUCACUAGUAGCAGAAGACAAACGCCAAAAAGAAACUACAACACAACAACAAAUACAGUAAGAAAAACGCGAGUAUGAGCUGAACCUAGAAGUAGAAGAGAGAACACACGGGAAGAACUUGAAAGGGUUGCUAAGAGCGAGCAGCACGCAAGAUCGAACUCCAAAGGAAGGCGCCAGUUAAAACAUGAGUCACGAGCCGGUAUAGUUGGCUUCCCCAGGCACUCGCCUCCAAAAAAAUGGCCUUACCACAAAGGUCCUACCACCUGCAACUGCACAGAUACCAACUAGAGCUUGGAAUUCAGAAUAGACGACAAUGGGGCCGUACCGAAACGGCGGAACCGACGAACCAGAGCCUGUCGAAGCACCGGACACCAAGCACAGCAAAACAGCCACCUCUACUCCUCCUUCCUGAAACUCACAUGCACCUGAGAACUCUAAAACACGGUUUAAAAGAUAUUACCACUAUACAUAAUAGAUGCAUG